GCAUCGAUCGGGAACUCCGGCGCUCAUUCGUGCGCGGAGUGAAACAGGAAGACCGGUGAAGCGGGGGCCGCAUGCGGCCAUUUUCCCGCCAUUCCGGCGCAGCCCCCGCUGCUGUAAGCCAGACGGUGCCGCCAUUUUGGGCCACUGAAGCAUUCCGCUUCGGGAAGGCGGCGGCAACCGGACGAAGGCGAGCCAGAAGACCGACCCGUUCGACAGGACAGAU
rnacentral:ncRNA from 2 species